rnacentral:rRNA from 1 species
UACGUAGGUGACAAGCGUUAUCCGGAAUUACUGGGCGUAAAGGGCGCGUAGGCGGCCAUCUAAGUCAGACGUGAAAUCCCCCGGCUUAACCUGGGAACUGCGUCUGAUACUGGAAGGCUUGAGUAUGGGAGAGGGAUGUAGAAUUCCAGGUGUAGCGGUGAAAUGCGUAGAUAUCUGGAGGAAUACCGGUGGCGAAGGCGGCAUCCUGGACCAUUACCGGAGCUGAGGCGCGAAAGCUAGGGGAGCAAACGGG